GGGAUCACUUGGCUCGUGCGUCGAUGAAGAAC
rnacentral:rRNA from 1 species